GGGGCGUGGGGGCGUGCUAUACAUGCAGUCGAACGAGUUCUCGUUGAUGAUCGGUGCUUGCACCGAGAUUCAACAUGGAACGAGUGGCGGACGGGUGAGUAACACGUGGGUAACCUGCCCUUAAGUGGGGGAUAACAUUUGGAAACAGAUGCUAAUACCGCAUAGAUCCAAGAACCGCAUGGUUCUUGGCUGAAAGAUGGCGUAAGCUAUCGCUUUUGGAUGGACCCGCGGCGUAUUAGCUAGUUGGUGAGGUAAUGGCUCACCAAGGCGAUGAUACGUAGCCGAACUGAGAGGUUGAUCGGCCACAUUGGGACUGAGACACGGCCCAAACUCCUACGGGAGGCAGCAGUAGGGAAUCUUCCACAAUGGACGCAAGUCUGAUGGAGCAACGCCGCGUGAGUGAAGAAGGCUUUCGGGUCGUAAAACUCUGUUGUUGGAGAAGAAUGGUCGGCAGAGUAACUGUUGUCGGCGUGACGGUAUCCAACCAGAAAGCCACGGCUAACUACGUGCCAGCAGCCGCGGUAAUACGUAGGUGGCAAGCGUUAUCCGGAUUUAUUGGGCGUAAAGCGAGCGCAGGCGGUUUUUUAAGUCUGAUGUGAAAGCCCUCGGCUUAACCGAGGAAGCGCAUCGGAAACUGGGAAACUUGAGUGCAGAAGAGGACAGUGGAACUCCAUGUGUAGCGGUGAAAUGCGUAGAUAUAUGGAAGAACACCAGUGGCGAAGGCGGCUGUCUGGUCUGUAACUGACGCUGAGGCUCGAAAGCAUGGGUAGCGAACAGGAUUAGAUACCCUGGUAGUCCAUGCCGUAAACGAUGAAUGCUAGGUGUUGGGAGGGUUUCCGCCCUUCAGUGCCGCAGCUAACGCAUUAAGCAUUCCGCCUGGGGAGUACGACCGCAAGGUUGAAACUCAAAGGAAUUGACGGGGGCCCGCACAAGCGGUGGAGCAUGUGGUUUAAUUCGAAGCAACGCGAAGAACCUUACCAGGUCUUGACAUCUUUUGAUCACCUGAGAGAUCAGGUUUCCCCUUCGGGGGCAAAAUGACAGGUGGUGCAUGGUUGUCGUCAGCUCGUGUCGUGAGAUGUUGGGUUAAGUCCCGCAACGAGCGCAACCCUUAUGACUAGUUGCCAGCAUUUAGUUGGGCACUCUAA
rnacentral:rRNA from 2 species